ACAACUUUCAGCAACGGAUCUCUUGGCUCUCGCAUCGAUGAAGAACGCAGCGAAUUGCGAUAAGUAAUGUGAAUUGCAGAAUUCAGUGAAUCAUCGAAUCUUUGAACGCACCUUGCGCUCCUUGGUAUUCCGAGGAGCAUGCCUGUUUGAGUGUUUA
rnacentral:rRNA from 1 species